CCUCAAGAUUGGUUAAAACAUGUUCAGUUACUUACUCAUAUUGUGGAUGAUGAUGAUCUGUGAGGUGGUAUGAUCUAUGAGGAGAAUGAGAGAGAAAGAGGUGAGGAGGAAUAAGCAAGAGGAGAGGAUGCAUGCAAAAGCAAGAGAACAACAAAAAGUUGGAGGUGGCUGUAAUAAGGAUGAAAGAGCUACAAGAUAGGAGAAACAAGUCAGCGAUAGAGCUACAUGAUAAGAGAUAGUUGGACGUUGUUUAUCAUGUUUGGCAAUGUUCUUCUGUCUUUGAGCAAAUAAAGAGUUCACGAAGAGUUGUUUUUGCCUCAAUUCGUCUAAGGCCUGUAUUUUAUUUGUUGAAUAUAUUGUUUCAGUCGGACGAUCCAUGAUCUUGCUGUUGUAUUGUAUCUGUUGAA